UACGGAAGGGGCAAGCGUUGUUCGGAAUCAUUGGGCGUAAAGGGCGCGUAGGUGGUUCUGUAUGUCUACCGUGAAAGCGUACGGCUCAACCGUAUUUUGUCGGUGGAAACUGCAGGACUUGAGGCUGGGAGGGGCUGGUGGAAUUCCCCGUGUAGCGGUGAAAUGCGUAGAGAUGGGGGAGAACACUCGUGGCGAAGGCGGCCAGCUAGACCAGUUCUGACACUGAGGCGCGACAGCGUGGGGAGCAAACAGG
rnacentral:rRNA from 1 species